UAAUCAGGCAGUGAUUACUUAUCUGCAGGAGGAAUUAAAGACGUCUUUUGCAGAUGCAGACUCUGAGUCUAUAAAAGCAUGUUGCAGGACUUACUAUGAAACACUGUGGAGGAAAUACACUUUGUCUCUGCCAGAAAAGUUACAGAUUAGGGAUUCCAUUAAGGCUGUGGCUAAAAUCAGACAAAGGAAAAGAUGAUUGCUGGAGUCCAGGGUCAUUCAAACAGAUGCAGAGAGAGAACUGUGGCAGACAGCAACACUGGAACUGAUGUCUGAUGAGGAGGAUGCCAUUGCUGAUGGAAGGCUGGUGUGGGUUGUGAGAUCUCCACCUCAAAGGAGCCCACAGUUGUCAGACCUUUGCCACCACCUUCAGCGCAGACUGGAGGUAGAUGCGUGCUAGUUCUUGCACACCAUCAGCGUGUAAGACAUAAUGAAACUGAGCCAGAAGGACAUUUAUUUUUGGAACUUUAAGAAGCACUGGUUCAUUUGUGA